GCGAGCGUUAAUCGGAAUUACUGGGCGUAAAGCGCGCGUAGGCGGUUUUUUAAGUCGGAUGUGAAAGCCCCGGGCUCAACCUGGGAACUGCAUUUCGAACUGGCAAACUAGAGUGUGAUAGAGGGUGGUAGAAUUUCAGGUGUAGCGGUGAAAUGCGUAGAGAUCUGAAGGAAUACCGAUGGCGAAGGCAGCCACCUGGGUCAACACUGACGCUCAUGUACGAAAGCGUGGGGAGCAAACGGGAUUAGAUACCCCGGUAGUCCACGCCGUAAACGAUGUCUACUAGCUGUAGGGGUACUUGAGACCUUUGUAGCGCAGCUAACGCAAUAAGUAGACCGCCUGGGGAGUACGGCCGCAAGGUUAAAACUCAAAUGA
rnacentral:rRNA from 1 species